rnacentral:rRNA from 1 species
AUUUAAGGUUUGACCUGCCCACUGAAAUUAUUUGAAGGGCCGCAGUAAUUUGACUGUGCAAAGGUAGCAUAAUCAUUAGUUUUUUAAUUAAAAGCUUGUAUGAAGGGUUGGACGAGGUAAAUUCUGUCUCUAUUUAAUUUAAUAUAGAAUUUAAUUUUUAAGUUAAAAAGCUUAAAUUUUUUUAAAAGACGAGAAGACCCUAUAGAUCUUUAUAAUAUAAAUAUUAAUUUUAAUUAAGAAUAUUUUAUUUUUUAUUAUUUGUAUUAUUUUAUUGGGGUAAUAGGAAGAUUAAUUAAAUUCUUUUUUUUAUUUUUACAUUAAUAAAUGAUUAUAUGAUCCAAUUUUAUUGAUUAAAAGAUUAAGUUACCUUAGGGAUAACAGCGUAAUUUUUUUAGAGAGUUCAUAUCGAUAAAAAAGUUUGCGACCUCGAUGUUGGAUUAAAAAUUAUCUUAGGUGCAGAAGUUUAAGAUUUUGGUCUGUUCGACCAUUAAAUUUUU